GUGAGGAAUAUUGGUCAAUGGACGCAAGUCUGAACCAGCCAAGUCGCGUGAAGGAUGACGGUUCUAUGGAUUGUAAACUUCUUUUGUACUAGAGUAAAAGUAGGUACGUGUACCCAUUUGCAAGUAUAGUACGAAUAAGCAUCGGCUAACUCCGUGCCAGCAGCCGCGGUAAUACGGAGGAUGCGAGCGUUAUCCGGAUUUAUUGGGUUGAAAGGGUGCGUAGGCGGCGAAUUAAGUCAGCGGUAAAAUUUCUGGGCUCAACCCAGUCGUGCCGUUGAAACUGGUUUGCUUGAGUACGGAUGAAGUAGGCGGAAUUUGUAGUGUAGCGGUGAAAUGCAUAGAUAUUACAAGGAACUCCAAUUGCGCAGGCAGCUUACUAAACCGUAACUGACGCUGAUGCACGAAAGUGUGGGUAUCAAACGGGAUUAGAAACCCUGGUAGUCC
rnacentral:rRNA from 1 species